rnacentral:rRNA from 1 species
GACGAACGCUGGCGGCGUGCUUAACACAUGCGAGUCGAACGGAAAGGCCCUGCUUUUGUGGGGUGCUCGAGUGGCGAACGGGUGAGUAACACGUGAGUAACCUGCCCUUGACUUUGGGAUAACUUCAGGAAACUGGGGCUAAUACCGGAUAGGAGCUCCUGCUGCAUGGUGGGGGUUGGAAAGUUUCGGCGGUUGGGGAUGGACUCGCGGCUUAUCAGCUUGUUGGUGGGGUAGUGGCUUACCAAGGCUUUGACGGGUAGCCGGCCUGAGAGGGUGACCGGCCACAUUGGGACUGAGAUACGGCCCAGACUCCUACGGGAGGUAGCAGUGGGGAAUAUUGCACAAUGGGCGGAAGCCUGAUGCAGCAACGCCGCGUGCGGGAUGACGGCCUUCGGGUUGUAAACCGCUUUCGCCUGUGACGAAGCGUGAGUGACGGUAAUGGGUAAAGAAGCACCGGCUAACUACGUG